rnacentral:rRNA from 1 species
UACGUAGGGGGCAAGCGUUAUCCGGAUUUACUGGGUGUAAAGGGAGCGUAGACGGUUACGCAAGUCUGGAGUGAAAGGCGGGGGCCCAACCCCCGGACUGCUUUGGAAACUGGCGGGCUAGAGAGCAGGAGAGGGCGGUGGAACUCCAUGUGUAGCGGUAAAAUGCGUAGAUAUAUGGAAGAACACCAGUGGCGAAGGCGGCCGCCUGGCCUGUUAACUGACGCUGAGGCACGAAAGCGUGGGGAGCAAAUAGG